rnacentral:misc_RNA from 1 species
AAAAAAAAAAAAAAAACUUGAAAGAAGAAGCAAAUAAAGAUGAAGAGGGAGAAUAAAGGAAAUAAAGAAGAAAAAUUAGCACAUGGACACUGAAGCAUAGAGUUUAUUCUUCAUCUUUAGCAAAAGAGAAAUGAUUACUUGCAUUAUAAGUCUAUGAUUCUCUUUUUAUACUACAAAUAUUGGAAGGAAUAUAUAUUUAUAUAUGUGUAGCUUACAUCUGUCAGACUAUGAAGUGUGCUUUUUCCUUGUCGUUUUUACCACGAUUGAUUUGAAAAACAAAAUUUCUGUUAUGCCUUCUCCAGGAUUUCAAGACAUUCUAUUUUCAACUUCAAGUCUUAGAUUUGAAAUAUUUUCUCUGCUAAAAUAAGCAUUUGAAAACAAG